UACUCAGUCCAGCAAAGGUUUAGUGCACAGAAAUCUUCUUAUAAAGCUUCUUAAUUUUCUUAAGAGGGUUUCAGAAGAAUGGCAUCAAUGAAGGCUGAGAAACCUGCUGCUGGGACUCAAUCAAGUGGUCAGAUUAAAAACGAGCCUGCUACUAAACCUAGUUCUACUACCCCCAAAGCCCCGGCCUCAAAGCCGGCGCCUAAGAAAACCGAGCAGAAGCCUCGGGAGCCUAGGAAGAAGCCAGCAGGAGGCAGGUCAGCUGCUAAAGCAUAAAAAAGAAUGAGCUAGUGGAUGCAUGCAGCAUGCGGAAAUGUCCAUGAAGGAGUUGAUUCAUGGCUGUCCUUAUUAACAUUAAGGGGGGUUAUACUAGUUUCUGCAUGUUUUGUGUCCAUGUCUAUGUCCUUUUAGGCCUGGCCUAUUAAAUAAAAAAUAUAUAUAUUUAAAGAUCUUGUAGGUUUUUGUUCAAUGUCGGAAAUUUAGCAGUGCUUGUGCAGCAUGAUUCAAGGCUUCAAGCCUCAAUAUUUAGCAGUUUUUAAUAUAAAGAAUACCCCAACAGGAGAGAGAGAGAGGGGGGGGGAAUAAUUUAGUGUUUCUUGCCUAACUAGUUGGUCUGUGAAACAUUGGAAGUAACCAACACACUGUUUUGAAAGGCAGAGCAUACUCUGUUUUUGUGUAGGUUGUGAUACAUGAGUCCUAAUUCAUUCAAUGCACUCACAUGACAUAGCAUUAUACAACAUAUUUUUUACACUAGUAUGAACAUCUCUAUAUAGGUAUUAUAAUCCCACAUCGAUUGGCAUAACCCAAAAGAUGUGGUUUAUAAAAGUCAUGUCUUUUAUAUUCAACAAAAUUAUUUUCUAAGUUUAAGUACUAUAAGCGACGACCCAGAAGAACAAAACCGCAAUUGAUAAACCCAGAUACUUGGCUAAGGGCAUGACAACUCAUCAGUGUAUCUACGUGAACGGAUGAACCUAAAACAGAUAAUAUCGUUCAUCGAUAAUGACUUUUA